UGGUGGAGUGAUUUGUCUGGUUAAUUCCGUUAACGAACGAGACCCCCGCCUGCUAAAUAGUGCCAGUAAUGCUUAGCAUUGUUGGUCUUACUUCUUAGAGGGACUUCUGGUGACUAACCAGAGGAAGUUGGGGGCAAUAACA
rnacentral:rRNA from 1 species